GAAGGUGGCCUGUGAGGGUUGCUGGAGGUAUCAGAAGUGCGAAUGCUGACAUAAGUAACGAUAAAGCGGGUGAAAAGCCCGCUCGCCGGAAGACCAAGGGUUCCUGUCCAACGUUAAUCGGGGCAGGGUGAGUCGACCCCUAAGGCGAGGCCGAAAGGCGUAGUCGAUGGGAAACGGGUUAAUAUUCCCGUACUUGGUGUUACUGCGAAGGGGGGACGGAGAAGGCUAUGUUGGCCGGGCGACGGUUGUCCCGGUUUAAGCGUGUAGGUGUGUGUUCCAGGUAAAUCCGGUUCACUUUAACACUGAGGCGUGACGACGAGGCACUACGGUGCUGAAGCAACAAAUGCCCUGCUUCCAGGAAAAGCCUCUAAGCAUCAGGUAACAUCAAAUCGUACCCCAAACCGACACAGGUGGUCAGGUAGAGAAUACCAAGGCGCUUGAGAGAACUCGGGUGAAGGAACUAGGCAAAAUGGUGCCGUAACUUCGGGAGAAGGCACGCUGACAUGUAGGUGAAGUGAUUUACUCAUGGAGCUGAAGUCAGUCGAAGAUACCAGCUGGCUGCAACUGUUUAUUAAAAACACAGCACUGUGCAAACACGAAAGUGGACGUAUACGGUGUGACGCCUGCCCGGUGCCGGAAGGUUAAUUGAUGGGGUCAGCGCAAGCGAAGCUCCUGAUCGAAGCCCCGGUAAACGGCGGCCGUAACUAUAACGGUCCUAAGGUAGCGAAAUUCCUUGUCGGGUAAGUUCCGACCUGCACGAAUGGCGUAAUGAUGGCCAGGCUGUCUCCACCCGAGACUCAGUGAAAUUGAACUCGCUGUGAAGAUGCAGUGUACCCGCGGCAAGACGGAAAGACCCCGUGAACCUUUACUAUAGCUUGACACUGAACAUUGAGCCUUGAUGUGUAGGAUAGGUGGGAGGCUUUGAAGUGUGGACGCCAGUCUGCAUGGAGCCGACCUUGAAAUACCACCCUUUAAUGUUUGAUGUUCUAACGUGGACCCGUAAUCCGGGUUGCGGACAGUGUCUGGUGGGUAGUUUGACUGGGGCGGUCUCCUCCUAAAGAGUAACGGAGGAGCACGAAGGUUGGCUAAUCCUGGUCGGACAUCAGGAGGUUAGUGCAAUGGCAUAAGCCAGCUUGACUGCGAGCGUGACGGCGCGAGCAGGUGCGAAAGCAGGUCAUAGUGAUCCGGUGGUUCUGAAUGGAAGGGCCAUCGCUCAACGGAUAAAAGGUACUCCGGGGAUAACAGGCUGAUACCGCCCAAGAGUUCAUAUCGACGGCGGUGUUUGGCACCUCGAUGUCGGCUCAUCACAUCCUGGGGCUGAAGUAGGUCCCAAGGGUAUGGCUGUUCGCCAUUUAAAGUGGUACGCGAGCUGGGUUUAGAACGUCGUGAGACAGUUCGGUCCCUAUCUGCCGUGGGCGCUGGAGAACUGAGGGGGGCUGCUCCUAGUACGAGAGGACCGGAGUGGACGCAUCACUGGUGUUCGGGUUGUCAUGCCAAUGGCACUGCCCGGUAGCUAAAUGCGGAAGAGAUAAGUGCUGAAAGCAUCUAAGCACGAAACUUGCCCCGAGAUGAGUUCUCCCUGAGACUUAGAGUCUCCUGAAGGAACGUUGAAGACGACGACGUUGAUAGGCCGGGUGUGUAAGCGCAGCGAUGCGUUGAGCUAACCGGUACUAAUGAACCGUGAGGCUUAACCUUACAACGCCGAAG
rnacentral:rRNA from 1 species